GUUAAAGUUGCUGCAGUUAAAACGCUCGUAGUUGUGGUUUCGUUAACUAAGCGGUCUGUGUCUCAAAAAGACGCGGGCAGUUUGGUUAAUUACAAUUGAGUGUGCGUGUUAACUCACACACACUUAGUAAACCUUGAAAAAAUAUUGACGCUUAAAAUUGGACUUACGUCCAAGUUCUUUCUGCAUGGGAUUUUGAAAUAUGAGUGGCGGAGUCAAAUCCGCUGCUAAUGACAUUUGAGGAUGAAAGAGGAAGUUAAUAUUUACAUGUCAGAGGUGAAAUUCUUGGAUUAUGUAAAGAUUAACUAAUGCGAAGGCAUUCUUCAAUUGCUUUCCUGUCAAUCAAGAACGAAAGUUAUGGGAUCGAAGACGAUCAGAUACCGUCGUAGUCAUAACAGUAAAUUUUGCCGACAAAGGAGGCGGGAAAGAAAUAGAAUGUGCAGGGCAACUUGUGCAUUUAAUAUCCUCCUGCUUUCUCCCACGAAAGUUUAAGUCUUUGGGUUCUGGGGGGAGUAUGUUCGCAAGGCCGAAACUUAAAGGAAUUGACGGAAAGGCACCACCAGGCGUGGAGCCUGCGCUUAAUUUGACCCAACACGGGAAAACUUACCAGGUCCAAACAGCGGGAGGAUUGACAGAUUGAGAGCUCUUUCAUGAUUCGUUGGGUGGUGGUGCAUGGCCGUUCUUAGUUGGUGGUGCGAGCUGUCUGGUUGAUUCCGUUAACGAACGAGACCUUUGUGAGAUAAUAGGUGGGUCAAGAUAUUGCGUCAAGGCUAGAGCUCACGUAUUAGGGAAGGAUCCGUUCCUCCUUUUACUCUGGGUUUUAGUUGCAAUCUAGACUACACCUUCUUUCUCAGACAAAUGACAAAAAGUCAUUGGAAGUUGGAGGCAAAAACAGGUCUGUGAUGCCCUUCGAUGUUCUGGGCUGCACGCGCGCUACAAUGACAGAGUCAGCAAGUUUUUCCUAGCUCGAAAGGGCCGGGUAAUCUCAGAAACUCUGUCGUAAUAAGGAUCGCUGAUUGAAACUAUUCGGCGUGAAUCAGGAAUGCCUUGUAAUUAUGAGUCAUCAGCUCAUAGUGAAUACGUCCCUGCCUUUUGUACACACCGCCCGUCGCUCCUACCAAUUGAUAUAAACGGUGAAAAGAUCGGAGACGACUUUCGUUGGGGGUAAAACCUCAUGUAAGAUGUCAA
rnacentral:rRNA from 1 species